rnacentral:rRNA from 1 species
CACCGAUAAUUUAGUUGAGUGGCGAACGGGUGAGUAACACGUGGGCAACCUGCCCAAAAGAGGGGGAUAACACUUGGAAACAGGUGCUAAUACCGCAUAACCAUAGUUACCGCAUGGUAACUAUGUAAAAGGUGGCUAUGCUACCGCUUUUGGAUGGGCCCGCGGCGCAUUAGCUAGUUGGUGGGGUAAAGGCUUACCAAGGCAAUGAUGCGUAGCCGAACUGAGAGGUUGAUCGGCCACAUUGGGACUGAGACACGGCCCAAACUCCUACGGGAGGCAGCAGUAGGGAAUCUUCCACAAUGGGCGAAAGCCUGAUGGAGCAACGCCGCGUGGGUGAAGAAGGUCUUCGGAUCGUAAAACCCUGUUGUUAGAGAAGAAAGUGCGUGAGAGUAACUGUUCACGUUUCGACGGUAUCUAACCAGAAAGCCACGGCUAACUACGUGCCAGCAGCCGCGGUAAUACGUAGGUGGCAAGCGUUAUCCGGAUUUAUUGGGCGUAAAGGGAACGCAGGCGGUCUUUUAAGUCUGAUGUGAAAGCCUUCGGCUUAACCGGAGUAGUGCAUUGGAAACUGGGAGACUUGAGUGCAGAAGAGGAGAGUGGAACUCCAUGUGUAGCGGUGAAAUGCGUAGAUAUAUGGAAGAACACCAGUGGCGAAAGCGGCUCUCUGGUCUGUAACUGACG